rnacentral:lncRNA from 1 species
CUGUGAAAGGGCAUAGGCUCCGUUUCUCGUUGGGAUGCCACGAUGAUUACAAAGAGGGCCGAGCGACUUAAGCCAGCUAACAACCUACAAGAUGUAACAAUGAUGACAUAACAAACUAAACAACAACAACGACUUAAAUAGUUAUCCAGAGCCUAGGCGGCGCCGGAAGGUCGUACAUUAUCCGUAUCUCAAAUGAUCGUCCACGAGUAAAGUUAACGACUUAACAACUAACAAGAAAACCUAACAUGCCCCCCUGCUUAGCUCAAGCAUCGGCCUCGAUGCGACCAAAGUACAAACUAUGCUAAGUCGUGCGCCGCUCCGAUUCCCUGAACGAAAUCGGUACCAGGCUAACGAGGGGAAGGCAAAAGGGAACCGGAGUCAAGGCAAAACCUUCCCCGCACUGGAUACCGGCCUAAAUAAGGCGCACGACACCUAUACUUGCCGGUCUGAGGAACCGGUAUAUAUCCCAACGAACGUGUCCAAAACAUCCACAAAGAGUACGCAAACCAAAAGCCUAAGGCACGGAAAGCAAACUCGGUGGAUGACAAAAGAACGCAAGAGAACGCGAAAAUACACAACAUGCGACACGCAAUACCCCGAAAAAAACAGAAGUCAAGACACGACACGCGCAAAACUGAGGCGAAAUAACCCAAACUGAAACACACAGGACACGAGUCACACACAACACACAUCCUAUGCGUAGCGCUAGGUUGUCACGANNN